rnacentral:rRNA from 1 species
CCGCAGGAAGAGAUCAAUUGGACCCUUGCCCAUGUGGUGGAUGGUCCUGUCCCUCAUCACUACGAGUCCUUGAAGCGCGAAAACCCCAGCUUGCUGCCCUCGCCGGCGGAGCAGAUGGACAGCUGGAAGGUUGAUUUCUAUAAUGGUUGCCGCGCUUUCUUUGCCGUUCGAGAGAGAUUCGCCAAGUAUCAGCCACUUGUCCGGGCUGAGUAUGAGAAGCGCGGCUACGUUGAGGUUGACGACGACUUCCUGACCCGCAGGGCGCACCUCCGUGCGUAUAACGAUGUCCUACGCGCCAAGGCAAUGAAAUAUGUCGCCCAUUUGGUUGACACCGGCGAACUUUUGGUCGCUGGCCGC